ACAGGGCGACAGGGUUAAAAGUCAAAUUGGUUUCAUUUAAAAGCAGAAUUCAGAAUAACAGCAGUCACUCUUUCCUGAUAAGCCCUGCUGUGCGCCUGCGUGUGUUUCUGGCACAGCUGUCAUAACAAACCAUGAGACAAAGAGGUGAUCGGCUGGCACAGCUGAUGAUCAAAGUCCAGACACAGCCAUGGACACACUCACAUACAUUCAGGGUAGCCAACAUUAUUCCCAUCACUCUACCCAGUUUCUUCAAGUACGCCUGUAGAGUGCAGCUUAAGCCACAUGUUUGUGUGUUGAGCUGAGAUCACAGUGUCUGUCCUCACAGCAUCUCAGUGAAGUUCAAUAAAGAAAGGUUGCUUUGUUUUUCUGCCAAUCCCACAGAGAGAAACCUCUGUCAGUCAGACUUUAUGUUUGCAGCCAAAAGGCGUUUUUAAAUAAUGAGCCUUAAAUCCACCAUGCAACAUAACCCUCCUGUAAGAUUUAACACCCAGACUGUCGGGGACAGGCAGCGCUGAUGUUUGAUCAGCGCACUUCCAAUCUGGUUUCGAUCCCGAUGACGCAAAAUUCGGUCAGUUCAGCCGCUGCGCUGCGUGACAGUUUCACGUGCUGACGCGGACGUGGUGCGUUUUACGCGCUCCCGUGGCGCGCGGCCAAGCGGCCAAUUGACAAGUUGUGAUUAGUUUAAGUGCCGAAAAUCAGAUGAGAUUAGUGCCGAAUGAGCCGAUCAUUUCUCUGUCCGCGUGAAGACGUGCACAUUCUGACUGGAGGCGGCGGAAGCUAAGAAACACACAAGCGGCGAGCCACAUACCUGCGACCGGGGAGGGCUUCCGAAGAACGACCCACCGAGUCUUCCACUGUGGACAGGGACCUGACUAAAGACAUCACAGGCCUGCCAGAACCGGAUAUUCUCCUCACUGAACUCUUUCUUGAGGAACUCCUGAGGCAGAAGAAUUAAUUGUGGGUCAAAAAUUAGGACACAUCUGGCAAACUUAGUCAAGAGACAAAAAUGUCUUCAUAAUGAGAGGCAAUUUUUGAGAUUUUAUUUUGUUUUACAUUUUUUUAAAAAAAUAUUUGUCAUUUUUAUGACCACUAUAGCUCUGUCAAUUAUCAAUAUUCAGCAUCAGAGUCAAAAAUAUAAUGUUUGCAUCAAAAUGUAGUUAGCUGGAAGUGUAAAGUAGCAGAGAAAAGAAAUACUAGAGUACUGUACAAGCACCUUAAAAUGAGUAGACUUGUACUUGUACUUCAUAGCAUUUUCUCACUGCUUGUAACUUGUCUCUACAGAAAGGCCAACAGAAUAAUGAUUUUACAUAACUUGAGUAUAUAAAGCCAUUUUUGUGACAGUGUGAGAUAUGGUCAACACUGGCUGGCACAAAACAACAAUAAACUCCAUUGCUGUUUAACUUG